GGGGCGUUAGCUCAGUCGGUUAGAGCACCGGACUCAUAAUCCGUCGGUCGCGGGUUCAAGCCCCGCACGCCCUA
rnacentral:tRNA from 1 species